GACGAACCGAGCGAACGUUGUUCGGAAUCACUGGGCUUAAAGGGCGCGUAGGCGGGUGCUCAAGUCUGUGGUGAAAUCCUCCGGCUCAACCGGAGAACGGCCAUGGAUACUGGGUGUCUCGAGGGUGGUAGGGGUAUGCGGAACUAUCGGUGGAGCGGUGAAAUGCGUUGAUAUCGAUAGGAACUCCGGUGGCGAAGGCGGCAUACUGGACCACAUCUGACGCUGAGGCGCGAAAGCCAGGGGAGCGAACGGG
rnacentral:rRNA from 1 species